rnacentral:rRNA from 1 species
GAUGAACGCUGGCGGCGUGCUUAACACAUGCAAGUCGAACGGAAAGGCCCAAGCUUGCUUGGGUACUCGAGUGGCGAACGGGUGAGUAACACGUGGGUGAUCUGCCCUGCACUUCGGGAUAAGCCUGGGAAACUGGGUCUAAUACCGGAUAGGACCACAUUUUGGGUGGUGUGGUGGAAAGUUUUUCGGUGUGGGCUGAGCUCGCGGCCUAUCAGCUUGUUGGUGGGGUAAUGGCCUACCAAGGCGUCGACGGGUAGCCGGCCUGAGAGGGUGUACGGCCACAUUGGGACUGAGAGACGGCCCAGACUCCUACGGGAGGCAGCAGUGGGGAAUAUUGCACAAGGGGCGCAAGCCUGAUGCAGCGACGCCGCGGGGGGGAUGACGGCCUUCGGGUUGUAAACUCCUUUCGCUAGGGACGAAGCGUUAUGUGACGGUACCUGGAGAAGAAGCACCGGCUAACUACGUG